CCUACGGGACGCAGCAGUGGGGAAUAUUUCACAAUUUUUUACACCCUGAUGCAGCGACGCCGCGUGGGUGAAGAAGUAUCUCGGUACGUAAAGCUCUAUCAGCAGGGAAGAAAAAAAGUCUUUGGCUUUGGACGGUACCUGACUAAGAAGCCCCGGCUAACUACGUGCCAGCAGCCGCGGUAAUACGUAGGGGGCAAGCGUUAUCCGGAUUUACUGGGUGUAAAGGGAGCGUAGACGGCAGUGCAAGUCUGGAGUGAAAUGCCGGGGCUCAACCCCGGAACUGCUUUGGAAACUGUGCAGCUAGA
rnacentral:rRNA from 1 species